rnacentral:lncRNA from 1 species
CAAUGAUGCCAGGGCCACGGGGGCCAGAGGAACUUAGCCCUUGCUAGAAACUGCGACCUCAGCCAAAGGACGGGGUUGGGGAACAAGCAGUGGUUUGCCUGGAGGCCAGUGGAGGAAGCUGUCCCUUUCUGAGAGCUGCAGAAUCGAGUGGCAAAUGAGUCUGACUCUCCCCAAUCCACCCUAUGGCCUGGCCUCCCAAGAAGGUGGAAGAGACACGAGGGGAGGGGCUGAGGACAUGAACGCCAG